rnacentral:rRNA from 1 species
UACGUAGGGGGCAAGCGUUAUCCGGAUUUACUGGGUGUAAAGGGAGCGUAGGCGGUUCAGCAAGUCAGAAGUGAAAGCCCGGGGCUCAACUCCGGGACUGCUUUUGAAACUGUUGAACUAGAUUGCAGGAGAGGUAAGUGGAAUUCCUAGUGUAGCGGUGAAAUGCGUAGAUAUUAGGAGGAACACCAGUGGCGAAGGCGGCUUACUGGACUGUAAAUGACGCUGAGGCUCGAAGGCGUGGGGAGCAAACAGG